rnacentral:rRNA from 1 species
AGUGAACGCUGGCGGCGUGGAUUAGGCAUGCAAGUCGAGCGAUCCUUGUCACUGAUGGAGACGGAGGUCUUCGGACCGAAGUUUUCUGAUGUGACGCUGGAUAGCGGCAAACGGGUGAGGAACACGUGGGUAAUCUACCUUGAGGAGGAGGAUAGCUUCGCGAAAGCGGAAGUAAUACUCCAUAUGUCUUAAGUCAAAAGAUUUAAGAUUAAAGAUGGCCUAUGGUUUACUAUGCUGUCACCUUAAGAGGAGCUCGCGUCCUAUCAGGUAGUUGGUGAGGUAAGAGCUCACCAAGCCGAAGACGGGUAACUGGCAUUAGCGUGUGGUCAGUCACACCGGGACUGAGAUACUGCCCGGACUCCUACGGGAGGCUGCAGUCGAGAAUCUUUUCCAAUGGGCGAAAGCCUGAGAAUGCGACGUCGCGUGGAGGAUGAAGCGUUUCGGCGUGUAAACUCCUUUUGUCGGGGAGGAAAUCUUUUUAAUAAAUAGUUAAGAAGUUUGACUGUACCUGAUGAAUAAGCCACGCUAACU